CGAUUCUUAUCCCCUGCCGCGCACAACUUCCCCUCCUCUCACGUUCGCACGCAUAGGAGCUCUCCAUCCCCAACCAACCUCCUCUCCCGCUUGGUGCCUCACCUCCCCGGUGCCCCACUGCCUCCUCCCCUCAUCGUCGCCCUCCCUGGCGCCCACAUCCCACCCCUGGCAUGCCGUCCGCCCCACACGCCGCCCCUCACUGUUGGCCCCGACGUCCUAUUGGAAACGAAUGAGGAACCGCCACCGCAGCCCCGCCCCAGCCGCUGAGGCCUGAGGUUUGGCUCGUCCCCGCCCCGCCCCGCUGCCGGAGACGCAUCCCUGGAGCACCGCCCGAUAGCCAGAGCUCAGCUCGCGAGAGCCACAACACCCUGGCCGGCCAGGGACGCGCUUCCCCGCCCCAGUCGCCCCCGGAAACGGACGCCUCGGCCGGCCGCGGGCGCCCUAGAUGGGCUGUGGGGUUGGUGCGGCGACCGCGUGGGAGGGGCCGUCGGGCCUAUAAAUACUCUACCGCCAGGGAUUCCUACUACAAUGGCCAGCCUCUGAUUGUUGGUGACAUGGUUGAAAAAGUUAAUCAGGGGAGCAGGAAAUCUCCGUCCCCGCAUAUGAGCUACCGCCAGCAUCCGCAACGCCUGGUCUGCCUAGCGACUCGCCGCCCCGCCCUGUCCGACCACGUCGUGCCUCUUGCCGUCGGUUGACACACCCUCGUUGUUACCUCCAGGUAUUUUCCCACCUAUAUUACUUGCAACUUUAGGGACUGCUAUAGGGAUUGCUCAACUGGAUCUGCACAAUCCAACAAAAGAAAUAUGCAAAGUGUUUGCAUCUGCACAAUCCAACAAAUAAUAUCUCAGGCUGCUCCGUUCAGAUGACAGAUGAGCAGCACUGAAUAGCAUCAAAGCAACUAAAUGCAUCUUCUGAGAAGGAAUGACUCUGUGAUAGAGAAUGAUACUCAAUGAUGACAGCUGAACAAAGGGAUGCGUACUUGCACAAUAACCGUGAGUAUAAGAAGUCCAAACACAAGGGCAGUGAUCACUUUUAGCACUUGAGGGGUCCAGUAGAGGUAUUUCUACUUUCUUGCCCUCAAAAGAAAACAAUGGACAAGUAUGCUGCUUAUUCACUUUCUUUCUAUAGGUUAACACAUUUAUAACAAAUUAACAAUAUCACCAGGCUGAAUAUUUGUUAGUUCCAAUAUUUUAAAUUCAGUUGACCUCAUGAAUUCAGAUUCUUGAGGUUUGUCUCUUCAAGUUGUGAUUGACUGGAAACAGGGUGUAACAAAGAAAAGGACUGCAAUUGUGCUCCUAUUGCUUAAUAUACCGAGUGAAAGUAAAUACAAUGACCUACAAUAUAGAGCUUAUGUGCUUUGCAUGAAACUGAAUGCAUGGCACUGAACAUACCUCUAAUCUCUUAUGUUAUAUAAGUAAGCACAUGAUUGGGAGGAUUGAUAUCCAUCUUGGUUCAAAAAUAAAUAAAUUUUGGCAACAUAAUUUGGGAGAUGCCUAUCUUUUGCAGCAUGGAAGUCGGAUAGUCAACAUGUUCUAGAUCAACAAGACCCUGAGCACGUCUUGACCCUAACAGAAAAAUAGAGACAUCCCAAGUGAUAAUAGGAAAAGGUAGACUCGGCUCCUCCACUCAUGCUUCUUUGAAUCUCUACAAGCUAAGUUCAGUGCAUGGUUCUAUGAACUACAACCUAAAUUCGGUACAUGCUUCUCUGAAUGUUGGCCUGCCAAUUGGUAUUAUAUUGCAGACUUCAGAGGAUUGUAUGCAGGUCAUUUAUGCCAAUGGUUUCCUGCCUUUUUAUGUUUUUUUGGACUAUUUGAAUGUAAGGACUAUACAUAAUAUCUUUUUUACUGUUCUAGGUUGAAGUGUUGGCACGAAGAAACAUAAUAGGAAUUUUAUGAAUACUGUGCCUUACUGUUAAGAUGAAUAACAGUCGACUCAGAUAGUGUGUGAUUAUGUUUCUCCUAAAGCUAGCUGACCAACAUCUGAACGACUCUGACUGCUGCGUACAAGUCCAGCUAUAAGGAUCUAAAACAUUGUGUGGAAUUCCGAAAGGUCUUUUCCUAUACUGCAAGACCCUGUUUGGAACAUGAUGAUUUCGUGAAUCAACAACAACACUGUUUCCAGUGACUUUCAACAACUACAUCGUUUCCAGUGAAAUUCAGCAACAACUACAUUGUUUCCUAUCAUCUAGGAAUAUAAAGACUUUGAUUUUUUUCCCCAGUAUAGUUUAGAUUUUUAGGGAACACUUCAACCAAGACAUCGAUGAAGCAAAGAACUUGAUUACAAGGUUCAGGGAGCUCCUAUGCUUUUUCCGAGUAAAGAUGACUUUCAUGCUAGAUUUUCUUUCAAGAUAACAAUAAAGCCUAGGAGCAUCCCUGUCCAUGGAACAAUACUGGAGUGAUAUAGUGCAACGGUCUUGCAUUUCUCAAUGCCUCUAUCUUUAUUUUCAUUGUUAUCGUAAUUCAGUGUGGUAUUUAGAAAUUUAGAAUCCUUGUGCUAUGAUGUUGUGUAUUUUGCAACCCAAUAUACUCUCCUGUUAACUGAAUGUGAUCGUAAUAAUUCAUUUUUAAUCGUUGGUUUA